rnacentral:rRNA from 1 species
CACGUAGGGCGCAAGCGUUGUCCGGAAUUAUUGGGCGUAAAGAGCUCGUAGGUGGCCUGUUGCGUCCGCUGUGAAAACUCAGGGCUUAACCCUGAGCCGGCAGUGGAUACGGGCAGGCUAGAGGUAGGUAGGGGAGAAUGGAAUUCCUGGUGUAGCGGUGAAAUGCGCAGAUAUCAGGAAGAACACCCGUGGCGAAGGCGGCUCUCUGGAACGCAACUGACGCUGAGACGCGAAAGCGUGGGGAGCAAACAGG